GACAGAGGUGCCGAGCGUUAGGCGGAAUCACUGGGCUUAAAGCGUGUGUAGGCGGACUUCUAAGUACCUUGUGAAAUCCCACGGCUUAACCGUGGAACUGCUUGGUAUACUGGUUGUCUUGGGCCAUCUAGGGGCUACCGGAACAAACGGUGGAGCGGUGAAAUGCGUAGAUAUCGUUUGGAACGCCAAUGGUGAAAACAGGUAGCUGGGGAUGUGCAGACGCUGAGACACGAAAGCCAGGGGAGCGAACGGG
rnacentral:rRNA from 1 species